rnacentral:rRNA from 1 species
AACGCGAAGAACCUUACCUGGGCUCGAAAUGUACGGGACACGUGUAGAAAUACAUUCUCCUAGCAAUAGGUCCGUAUAUAGGUGCUGCAUGGCUGUCGUCAGCUCGUGUCGUGAGAUGUUGGGUUAAGUCCCGCAACGAGCGCAACCCUUAUCUCCAGUUGCUACCAUUUAGUUGAGCACUCUGGCGAAACCGCCUCGGAUAACGGGGAGGAAGGUGGGGAUGACGUCAAGUCCUCAUGGCCUUUAUGUCCAGGGCUACACACGUGCUACAAUGGCCGGUACAAACCGCUGCAACCCCGCGAGGGUGAGCUAAUCGGAAAAAGCCGGCCUCAGUUCGGAUUGGAGUCUGCAACUCGACUCCAUGAAGCUGGAAUCGCUAGUAAUCGUGGAUCAGCAUGCCACGGUGAAUACGUUCCCGGGCCUUGUACACACCGCUCGCGA